UACGUAGGGCGCAAGCGUUGUCCGGAAUUAUUGGGCGUAGAGAGCUCGUAGGCGGUUUGUCGCGUCUGCUGUGAAAACCUAAGGCUCAACCUUGGGCUUGCAGUGGGUACGGGCAGACUAGAGUGCGGUAGGGGUGACUGGAAUUCCUGGUGUAGCGGUGGAAUGCGCAGAUAUCAGGAGGAACACCGAUGGCGAAGGCAGGUCACUGGGCCGCAACUGACGCUGAGGAGCGAAAGCAUGGGGAGCGAACAGG
rnacentral:rRNA from 1 species